GCUUUCGUAGUCUAGCGGUUAUGAUGCCUGCUUCACACGCAGGAGGUCUGGAGUUCGAUCCUCCACGAAAGCA